AACAAGUUUGGAACAAGCUGUUAACAUUAACUUGUAACAACCUUGUUGAUAUCAGACUUGUUGAAAGGUUGUUCCAACAAGUCCGAUAGAGUCAUGAUACAACAAUAGUGUUAGAACCUUGUGUCGUCAACCUUGUAACGUUCUUGUUAUUAUCAUGACUGUAUCAAACUUGUUAGAACAACCUUGUAACAAGUUUGAUGUCAUCAAGCUUGUUACAAUUAAGUUGUUAACAGCUUGUUCCAAACUUGUG